rnacentral:lncRNA from 1 species
GGAAGUACUCUUGUUAGCAUGUGUUUUGCUCUAAACUGGAUUAAUACAGAAAAAUCCUAAGAGGACUUAUGUUCUUACUAUGAAGUAGCAGUCAAACUUACGGGACAGGUGACCUAGGUAUUCACAUUGACCAGCUCAGUGAUGGCCAUCCGCUGAUGAGUUAAUAGUCAUGUUGGGGAAUGGAUCAAACUCCUCUUGAGCUGGAGUGGAUUGGCAGUUUCCAGUGCAGAUAGUUGUUGGUGACAUUUGACCUACCUCCCUACCCUAUACACUGGAAUUUUCUUUUUCCCAUGUUCUUUUUUCCUUGU